rnacentral:misc_RNA from 1 species
UUCCAGCUCCUCCACGUAAUGCUUCUUUCGCUGCCUUGAAAGCUGCGCGCUCUCUCGGUUUCUCAUCAGCCUUGCCCUCUUUUUCUCCUCCUCUUCACUCAAUUCAACGAAACUAUUUGGGUUGGCGUUCUUUGACCUCAGGUACUUCUGAUUUCUUGUUUGGCCAUUAACAUCCUCGCUAGGGGUCUCUUUCUUCCUCUUUGGCAAGCUGCAACUUAUGACAUUUACUUCUUCGAGUUUGAUCUUCUGAUCAACCACUAAAGCACCCGAAUCAGGAGAAGGCACAUUCAUGACUUCAGAUACACCCGA